rnacentral:lncRNA from 1 species
GAGAGAGAUGGACGUCGCUCUAUCCGCAUGCCCUAGCCCUACAACCCUAAGUGCCCGUUGUCAUCAUGGCCGCCACUGGGCAAGAGAAUGCAGGGCCAAGACUGACAGUCAGGGACGCCCUCUGCCCUCUCGCCUGUCAGGAAACUUCUUAUGGGGGCAGCCUCCCGCCCCCUUCCCACGGACAGACCCCGGGGCAAUAGGGUUUGUUCCUUAGGCUUCCCAUGUUCCCCAGUUUGCUCCGUGGCUGAUCUCUGGCGGGCCACAAGUGGUAGCUCAGGAUGGACCUCUGUGCCUCCUCCGGCACAAUCUUAACACCUGAGAAGGCAUCCGGGCCCUGCCUCCAGGGACUUUGGGCCUGAUAUCCGGCCGUGCUUCCUCUUCCAUUAAAGGGCUUCAGAUUACUCCAGGAAUAAUAGACACAGGGCAAAAUGAGGAAAUCCAGGUCCUGGCCAGGGCCUCCAACGAUCCCAUAUUUAUAUCCACUUAACAGGCCAUUGCUCAGUUAGUUUUGCUUCCCAAAACUUCAAUUAACAAUCCUUAUACAAAGAUUCCAGAGAGCCAAAAGAACGUAAAAUAUCUGAGGUAUUUUGGGCUCAAAGGAUUUCUGCCUCUCGCCCCAUGCUUAUUCUUAAGUUAAAGGGAAAGUCUUUUCAAGGUCUGUUAGACUCUGGGGCUGAUGCCACAAUCAUUUCAAGCAAAUUUUGGCCCGCUACAUGGCCAUUGACUGAUUCUGACACCCAUCUCCAGUGUAUAGGACAUUCUAAAA